AGUAGAACAGGAGCCAGAGCCUUCAGUUACCAAGCUCCUCUCCUGUGGAACCAGCUUCCAGUUGUGGUUCGGGAGGCAGACACCCUCACCACAUUCAAGAGUAGGCUUAAGACAUUCCUCUUUGAUAAAGCUUAUAGUUAGGGCUGGAUCAGGUGAGUCCUGAACCAUCCCUUAGUUAUGCUGCUAUAGGCCUAGACUAUCGGGGGAUUUCCCAUGGUGCACUGAGCUACUCUCUUCCUCUCUCUUUCUGCACUCAUUCAUGUUCCAUUAAUGCAUGUUACUAACUUCACUUCUUCCCCGGAGUUCUUGUGCUUUCUCGUCUCGCAGGUUCUCAUGGAUCCUGGUGGAGCCUCCUGCCAUGGUCCUGCUUGACUGCCAUUGCCAAUACUGUUGUUGCUGUGCACCUGUCUGUCUGUCUGUCUCUCGCUCUCUCUCUCUCUGCCUCGCUCUCUCUCUCUCUCUCUCUCUCUCUCACCCCAACUGGUCGAGACAGAUGACCACCCACCUAGAGCCGGAGGAUCUGUCCUAGGUUUCUGCCUUUUAACAGGCAGUUUUUCCUUGCCCUUGUCGCCAAGUGCUUGCUCAUGGUGGUACUGUUGGGUCUCUGUAAUUAAUGUUUUAAAGAGUUCGGUCUAGACCUGCUCUGUUUGAAAAGUGUCCUGAGAUAACUUCUGUUAUGAAUUGGCGCUAUACAAAUAAAAUUGAAUUGAAUUGAA